rnacentral:lncRNA from 1 species
UAAUCUGUAGCUAGAUCUAUUGUCUAAUAUUAUGACAGGUCAGGUCAUAAUCUGCAGUUAGAUCUAUAGUCUCUAAUAUUAUGACAGGUCAGGUCAUAAUCUGUAGCUAGAUCUAUAGUCUAAUAUUAUGACAGGUCAGGUCAUAAUCUGUAGCUAGAUCUAUAGUCUCUCUAAUAUUAUGACAGGUCAGGACAUAAUCUGUAGCUAGAUCUAUUGUCUAAUACUAUGACAGGUCAGGACAUAAUCUGCAGUUAGAUCUAUAGCCUCUAAUAUUAUGACAGGUCAGGUCAUAAUCUGUAGCUAGAUCUAUUGUCCAAUAUUAUGACAGGUCAGGACGUAAUCUGUACCUAGAUCUAUAGUCUCUCUAAUACUAUGACAGGUCAGGACAUAAUCUGUAGCUAGAUCUAUUGUCUAAUAUUAUGACAGGUCAGGUUAUAAUCU